rnacentral:RNase_P_RNA from 2 species
AGAGUGGGACGGGUGAUCGCUGACCGCAUGCGAGUCAGAGGAAAGUCCGGACUCCAGAGGGCAAGGUGCUGGGUAAUACCCAGGCGGAGUGAUCCGACACCGGCGCCACAGAAAACAAACCGCCGAUGGAUAAGGUCGUGACUUUCAUGACCUUAUGACAGGUAAGGGUGAAAUGGCAGGGUAAGAGCCUACCGCGCCUAUGGUGACAUAGGUGGCAAGGCAAGCGUCACUUGGAGCAAGACCAAAUAGGGGAACGAUUCCAUCUUUCAUUCUCGGACCUGGAUUAGGAUUUCGAAGAUGAAGGAUUGAGAAAGAUUGGCCCGAUCUUUGUUCCCGGGUAGGUUGCUAGAGGCUUAGAGUAAUCUAAGUCCUAGAGAAAUGAUCACCACCGAUUGGCUAUGCGUCGAUCGGAACAGAAUCCGGCUUACAGGCCCACUCUCAUG